CGUUGUUAGCGGCACUGGCACGGCGCACGGUUCGGGACCGUGAGGCCCCGGGUUCAAAUCCCGGGCCCCCGACCA
rnacentral:tRNA from 1 species